UACGGAGGGGGUUAGCGUUGUUCGGAAUUACUGGGCGUAAAGCGCGCGUAGGCGGAUUAGAAAGUUGGGGGUGAAAUCCCGGGGCUCAACCUCGGAACUGCCUCCAAAACUGCUAGUCUAGAGUUCGAGAGAGGUGNGUGGAAUUCCGAGUGUAGAGGUGAAAUUCGUAGAUAUUCGGAGGAACACCAGUGGCGAAGGCGGCUCACUGGCUCGAUACUGACGCUGAGGUGCGAAAGUGUGGGGAGCAAACAGG
rnacentral:rRNA from 1 species